ACGUUGAGCUUACGCCGGAAGUGGGCGUGUAUUGGCGUCUCCGGGCGCCGGGGAGAGGCUGGCCUAACGGUGUUUAAGCCUUUUGCGGGGCUCCUAGCACUCGUAUGUUUGUUUGCAGAAAUGAUUACGUGAGCACAGAGGGCAGAUUGCAAUGAGGAAAGCAUAUUAUCCAGUUUGUGUCUUUCAAAAGUUCUUUUUCCUCUAUGAGUCACGGCAUAACCACGUUCUUGCUGGUAAUUCGAUCACUUGGAGCUGUGCACAUCUCUUCCUGGCAAACUUAGUAACAAAGGAAGAGCAUACCUGUGUGAGACGGUUUUCUUCACAUACUUAAACCAAAUGCAUAUGGCAAUAGAUCCAAUGCAGAGGCAGAUGAGUGUCCAGUUGUUUUCGACCGAGCUAGACCUUACGGAUGUCACAAAAAGAUGGCAGCCGCUUAUACAUUUGCAAAUGUCACCCAGAAAACUGCCUUGGAGCUGAGGCGUGCGAAACAAAGGCAAGUCCUUGAGCAGAUCCUUCAAGGAGCUUACGGGGAGCUUCAGGGAGCUACUUAGGUCAAAACGUGGAUCCACGGUUCUUUGAGGUAAGAUAAGAUUGGUUCUGGUCCCUCCGGUGCCAGUAACCUGCACCAGGAAAAUGGACUUCUGUCUUCAAGUCUGUAGCUGCGUUGGAGAUGGUAACAAGAUUCUAGAGUUCUGAAAAACGUCAUCGUGACAAUUCUUGCCAGCUUGUUCACUGCUUUUAUGAAGGGAUGAAGGUUUGGAGUUGUCUACUCUGCUGUUUUCAGAGACGUCUGUCCUGUGGAGAGAAUGGGUGACACGGGUGUGGUAUUCCUGAUUCCAACAAAAGGGCAGCAUCCAGUCCAGAUCCCUUCCGACUUAUCUGGGAGUCUUGAGAGUUGGAUGCCUGAGGAGAUUUGUGGCCGAGCCCUGGAAAUCAUUGACCUGCCCCUUCUGUGGGGUCUACUCUGAGGAACCCUAUUCCAUAACGUACGCACCUUCUGUCCAAGGCGCCUGGGCUCCUCGGUGAUGCAGACUGACAAGAGGCUUUUCAUCCACUCCGGGUGCUUUCAGUUCUCCCAGAAUAAGUAAGGCCAGGAAAACCUGGUAGCGGGACGUUUGGCGGACCUUUUCAGAGAGUUGGACUCUGGAGUCGAGCACUGAGCAUGGGCCUUAGGUCGGCAGGUUUGUGUGUGACCGUGACAGAAAACCGGAAAAGACUCAUCUCUUCCUUUUACCUGCACUGUUUGAAGACCUCUGCUUGACAUCUUGCAAACAACUUAUGCUUCCCCUGCCUUCAGCAUUUGGCGAGAAAGCACCAGACGGGCUAUUCAUUUCUCGCCAGCAUCUUGACAUUUCUCAGAUACGCAAGAUCCGGAUCAACACGGCCCUUGGGAGGGUGGCUGAGACGAAGGUGCUCACGCCUGCGCCAAGCCCGUGCUGCUGUAUGCUCGGAUUUUAUGUGAAUGUGAACUUGGGUUCACUAACCACCACCGACUGUCUCACAUCCUCUGAGACAUGUGAGGUGUCAGAAGCGUAUGUCUGGUCGAGUCCGGUAGAGACUCCUGAGACAUUCCUCUCCACCGCUGGCAUCCUGGCUUCUCCACUUCACUUCUGGCCGCAACGAUUAGAAGAUGGAAACAGGAGGGAGGUAGAAAUGGGAUAUAGGUACUUGCUUGGCAUCUGUCCAUUGUCAAGGAACAUUCCCUGUGUCUUCAGAGCUCAGAUUUAGUGUUGGGAGCCUCACAGGAGGAUGUGAAGUUGUGUUAUCCGAACCCAGGACUGUUCUCCACAUGCACCGAAAGUUGCAGAAGGACGGAGCUGUGAAUUGCUGCUUUAGAAGGAAACCAAGAGCUAGCCUGUGGACAGUAUCCAGGAGGAAUCUGUGUAAAAUGCCAAUGAAAAUACUCCCAGUCAAAACAUGAGGUGUGUGGGUGAGCUGCGAACAAAGAAGACGUCAUCACAUUGAAGGCUCAACGUGCCAAGCGAGAAAGAUGACCAAUAGGCAGAUGAAGCACCCAACUGCACAGGCUAAAGGCGGACUCCGAAACAGAAGGCUUUCAAAGGGAAAGGAUUUGCAAAGACAAGAAGGAAGUCAGAUUUCAGAAAGAUCUGCUCCCCCAGUAGAGAACCUGAUGUUGAAGGUCUUACAAAAAUGAAGGACUUCUCUCUACAUAUCUUCGGUUCAGAUUCCUUAUGUGGUAUAUACUCUAGGGGCAGUUUAAAUGAAGUAAAGCAAGAGUUUAAGAGGAGCCAGAGUAUUUCUGCCUGAAGUGAUCAGGGCUGACUUUGCACAGAACGCGACAUUUGGACCUCACCUUUAAGUAAAUUCGAUUUCAAUUUGAUAUUACGAUGACUAGAAACACCAUUGAUGCAAAAGUUGGAGCAGCCGUGGUCAAGGAAAGUUUUCAUGACAAGGUUGACCGAUCUUGACCGUGAACAAAGAUGAACAACAGGCUUUAAAUGUCGUGUGUGCCGGGGGAGCCUUUCAUCCAAGACUUCCCAAUAACAUUCUGGAUUAUAUUCAAAUGAGAUUAAACAUACCGUCCCAGAGACACCCUGACAGGAUUGAAGGGAGACAUUGCCGGAGGCAGCUGUGGUCGUGGAAGUGAAUUACUCUGCCGGUCCCGCCCCACACGGACCCUGUUUACCUGAAUCUGUUCUUUGCUUCUUCCCUUCUGACUGAAUCCUUGUAUCGGCCAGGGGGGGCCCCCAUCCCUCAGACAGCCCAGUGCCUCGAGGGAAGCUGACUCCCCCCCCCCCCCAGCUCCAGGGGUGAGCCUGCUUAGUUACAGCCAACCCUGUACUUACACUCUCACCAGUAGAUUGUUCAGAAACCCACUUGGUCUGUUUCCUCCGACUAAGUGUAAACUCUGCGAGAAUGUGGAUGUUCAUCUGUCUUGCCAAAGAACCUAGAACGGUGCCUGGCACAUAGUUCUUAAUAAACAUUUCGCGAAUUCCUUUUCUCAUUCCUCUUCAGCAAACUGUAAAUGAACACCUACUACCUGUCAGGGACUCUUCUGGAUGCAAAACUACACAAGACUCAAGAAGUCUAGCAAGGAAGACAGACAUACCAACAAGUCUCUAGUAAUAUACCAUGGUUAACGCUGUCGUGAAUUACACAUACAAGGCUGGAGGGGCACGGAAGGAGCAGCCGACUUCCUCCGGGGAACUCACACGAGGCUUCCCAGCACUUCUUCCGGCACUUGGAGCAGAUCUUCGAAGAUGAGCAGAGAUUUUCCAGGUGAAGCGUCAGACCAACUGCAGUGGGGCCACGUCAGCUGUUGACCAAACCAGGGCAUUUGGAGAGUGAAAGGGAGGCUCCUAAUAACUACACUGAAUGACAAGUGUAAGCAGAGACCGUUCUGGGCAAACCAAGCCACGUGGUCAGUCCUGGAAGAAGGAGGAACACGGGAGAAGGCGGGGAUGGUAGAAACACCCCGGGGAAGGCCAGCACUCUGGUGCGUCGGAGUAAGGAGUGUGGUGCAGUUGGAGGACGGGCUGUGGCUGGAGCGAAGGGUGAGGGAUACGGUGUGAGGGACCUGUUCUGGUGAGCCAAGAACUCCGACUCGGUCCGCCAGCAUCUGGGACCUGUGGAGCUUUCUCAGCAGGAGAGCACCGUGAUCAGAUUUGCAUCUGGGGACAAGAGUUCUGCCGGGCAUGUAGAGAAAGAACCGGAGGGACGCAGACUAAAGAGCAGCCAGACGGGAGGCUGGUGCCGCGGCUCACCAAGGGAGGAUGGGCCCCUGAUCUCAGGCAGCACGGAAGGGUGGCUUCAGAAGGCAGGACAUACUCGAGGUAACGCUGCCGUGGAAUGAACUUGCAUGGAGGGCCAGGGGGUGAGGAGCAGAAGAAACGGAUGAUGCUGAAGUUUCCAGACUGGGUGAUGGCGGCUUUUGCUGUCCAUUCCCAUACAUGGUGACAAGCGGAAAAUGACCUCAGCUGCUUGGCAGACGGAGAGUGGCCAGGGAGCAGAUACAGGAAGCUGAAUCGUGUAGGGGCCAAGUGCCAAGGCAAGAGGCCAAUCCAAAAGCUGAGUCACUGUAUCCAAGGGGUCAGCACGGGUGGAAAAGAAGGAGUCAACGUGCCUCCUGGGACCAGGGAGGUCCGUGAAGGAGAAGUAUUGAAGCAGAUGGGCAGGGAAGCAGGUACCCGAGGGCAGAUCCAUGGAAGGACAGAUAAGACAUGCCCCCCUACGGUUGGAGAAGUAGACCGGGCGGCAGAAGAGGUGAACCUGUAGGCAAGUCAACAUAAUAGGAGUGAUCGGUGUGUUCGGUGCCCAGGGGAGGAAGGAACUCCGCAUAGGUGAACAAAUUGGCAUUGUUUUGUCUACAAGCCCUCGGUGAUU